rnacentral:rRNA from 1 species
GACGAACGCUGGCGGCGUGCCUAAUACAUGCAAGUCGAGCGGACAGAAGGGAGCUUGCUCCCGGAAGUUAGCGGCGGACGGGUGAGUAACACGUGGGCAACCUACCCUGUAGAUCGGGAUAACAUCGAGAAAUCGGUGCUAAUACCGGAUAAUCAUUUGAAGUGCAUGCUUCUAAUGUAAAAGAUGGCUCCGGCUAUCACUACGGGAUGGGCCCGCGGCGCAUUAGCUAGUUGGUAAGGUAAUGGCUUACCAAGGCAACGAUGCGUAGCCGACCUGAGAGGGUGAUCGGCCACACUGGGACUGAAACACGGCCCGGACUCCUACGGGAGGCAGCAGUAGGGAAUCUUCCGCAACGGACUAAAGUCUGACGGAGCAACGCCGCGUGAGUGAUGAAGGUUUUCGGUUCGUAAAGCUCUGUUGUUAGGGAAGAACAAGUGCCGUUUGAAUAAGGCGGCACCUGGACGGUACCUAACCAGAAAGCCACGGCUAACUACGUGCCAGCCGCCGCCGUAAGAC